GAUGAACGCUAGCGGCAGGCUUAAUACAUGCAAGUCGAGGGGCAGCGCGGGUAGCAAUACCUGGCGGCGACCGGCAAACGGGUGCGGAACACGUACGCAACCUUCCCAAAACUGGUGAAUAGCCCUCCGAAAGGAGGAUUAAUACACCGUACCAUAACGAAGAGGCAUCUCUUUGUUAUUAUAGUAGCAAUACGGUUUUGGAUGGGCGUGCGCCUGAUUAGGUAGUUGGCGGGGUAACGGCCCACCAAGCCUGCGAUCAGUAACUGGUGUGAGAGCACGACCAGUCACACGGGCACUGAGACACGGGCCCGACUCCUACGGGAGGCAGCAGUAAGGAAUAUUGGUCAAUGGACGCAAGUCUGAACCAGCCAUGCCGCGUGAAGGAUGAAGGCCCUCUGGGUUGUAAACUUCUUUUAUCUGGGACGAAAAAGGCUUCCUAGCUCACUUGACGGUACCAGAGGAAUAAGCACCGGCUAACUCCGUGCCAGCAGCCGCGGUAAGGUAG
rnacentral:rRNA from 1 species